rnacentral:rRNA from 1 species
UACGUAGGGUGCAAGCGUUGUCCGGAAUUAUUGGGCGUAAAGAGCUCGUAGGCGGUUUGUCGCGUCUGCUGUGAAAACCCGAGGCUCAACCUCGGGCCUGCAGUGGGUACGGGCAGACUAGAGUGCGGUAGGGGAGAUUGGAGUUCCUGGUGUAGCGGUGGAAUGCGCAGAUAUCAGGAGGAACACCAAUGGCGAAGGCAGAUCUCUGGGCCGUAACUGACGCUGAGGAGCGAAAGCAUGGGGAGCGAACAGG